CUUUUAUUUUAUAUUAUAUUUUACAGUUACCAACUCACCUUCUAUUUUUUCCAAUUCUCCACUAUCACCCAUACAUCAGACAUCUAAAGUUGCUGCAGCACAACAAACAAAAGAACAGGCUGAGUGUCAGGAGCUGUGAUGGUGGGUGCCUUCUUGGAUCCUUGAUCAGCAAUGAAAGAGGGAGCCUGCCUGGUCUUCCUGGUCUUUUGUACCUCCCAGAUGUUGUUGCCGGAUGGCAUUAAAUGUCUAAGCAGUUGUCCAAGGUGAAGAUUCUGGCUUUGCCCAAGGCCAGGGAAUGGCCCACUAACGCGUUUCACUGACUUUUGGCAGCUUUGCCCACUGGCCCAUUAUUUGGGAGUAUGCGAUCCAUACUGAAUGAGGCCCUUAGCCCUAUCACUAGGAACUAGUCUUUCUUUUUCCUCUAAUGGCGCUAGUUCUCCUGAAUUAUGGGCAGAAUAUUGACUUAUACCAUAAAAUUGCUGCUUCGACCUUCUGUAGCUGACAAAGGCACUUUAACAUUACUGUACUGUAUCUCCAAUUUUGCAUCUUGUUAAAACAGCGCCCUGCACCAUAUAUCUACGUAACGCUUCCUUUUCUGGACACUGAGUAUAAUGAACUCCCAAAAAGCAAUGGACCCGAUCAUUCAUCAUCUAAACUAGGCACAGGCGUAUAAAGCUGCAUAUGUACUGACAGUAAAAUGUCACAGUUUAGGAUUCUCCUGCUCAGUAGUUCUAGUCUCUGCAGAUUGCAAAAGUAUUUUAUCUUGAGUUGGAAUUUUAACUGAAAAUGAUCAUUAUGAUAGUUAGUUUAUGAGGCUGUUUCGCAAAUGAAGCCUCAGUAUGUUUCUCAUUUAAAAUGUGUUUUAUUCUCUGUAACAAUAAUAGAGAUCCCAUCAGCAUUUGCGCUACAGGAAAACUGUUAAUGGGAUCCGUUUCAAUGAAAAAGUCAAAUUCGUAAUAACUGCUGUCAAACACCGUGUUCUAACAACUAGAACUGAUUCCUGAGACAUCGAAGGCUUUAUAAACCUGUAUAAUAACAUGGUGUGUGUUUGUCAUAAAAAUAAAUCUGGGACUUCCGCUACUACUUGGGUGGACAUAGAUUUGUGGGGGUUUUUGGAAAGAAAAUAUAUCCGUCGUGACUUGCACAUUUGGUUCUUUGUUUGAUGACUCCCUAGUAAUUUGCAGCUUGCUGGCUCACUUAUGCUGCUUUCACAUCGCAAACCCUGCUUUUGAAACGUUUUUUUAAACGGUUCUUAAAACGGAUCGGAGCAGUUAAACCCCCUUCACAUCGCAUGUUGUAACUGGUAUAUUACCAUUUCAUUACCGUUUUGGUACCUUUCACACUGAACCCGUUUCUCCCAUAGAAAACAGUGGUUGUCAUUUUAAAUGGACUUUUCUGGCCCACACAUUAUUAAUAAUUAAUUAUGAAUUAAUUAUUAAUAAUUUGGCUAGUUGUACGAUGGAACCCAGCAGCUUCAAGCAUCUUUGCCAUGUUUUUGUAGAUUACUGCAUCCUUCACUGUCCCAGUGAUUUGUCUACAUAUUUCUUCAUCCCUUCUCAUCCUAAGCAGCUCCCUAACCUCCUCAUCACUCCAAUUUGCCAUUUUAAACUGUAUUCUGUAUAA